GGGCCAGUAGCUCAGAAAGGUAGAGCAGCAGGCUCUUAACCUGUCCGUCGGGGGUUCAAAUCCCUCCUGGCCCGCUA
rnacentral:tRNA from 1 species